rnacentral:rRNA from 1 species
GACGAAGGAUGCAAGCGUUAUCCAGAUUCAUUGGGUUUAAAGGGAGCGUAGGUGGCCUUAUAAGUCAGUGGUGAAAUCUCUGGGCUUAACCCAGAAAUUGCCAUUGAUACUGUAGGGCUUGAGUAUAGUUGCCGUUGGCGGAAUAUGACAUGUAGUGGUGAAAUACAUAGAGAUGUCAUAGAACACCGAUUGCGAAGGCAGCUAACGAAACUAUAACUGACACUGAGGCUCGAAAGUGCGGGGAUCAAACAGG